GGCUCAGAGAAGUCCGGUGACCUGCUGGAGGUCACACGGCCGCUGUGGGUUGAGCCGGGAGCCUUGCUCUCGGCACCCGGGUCCGCGGCAGCUGCCGCUUGGGGGUGGGCACCACCCAGCAAGCCUGCUUCAGAGCGGACGGAGGGCGGCCCUGGUCCUGCUCCAACCGACUGGCCUCCCGUCCCGGGAUUUGCUGUCCUGGCCUCUCUCCUUGUCUGGGCCCAUUCGGGCCCGAGACCCUCACUCCAGUUGGUACAUGAGGUCGCACCAUUAGCCCCCUGUUGAGAGUUUAAAUCACUCCGUAGGAGUCUGCCUUGGCAUCCAUUCGGUGUGGCCGAGCAGCCCGCGGGGCCUUGACCUGGCACGUCCCCCCCUCCCUCCCACAGGUCCCAACAGGUACACACCCUAAUAACCGCCAGGGGGCCUUGACUUCGCACCAGCUGCUCCCGCAGUGCAAGCCAGCCAGCCAUGCGCCUGCCGGGAGUCCCAGAAGCACCCUGUCCGUGGACCCUAAUCAGGGCGUGUGCCCGGGUCAGGCUGCUCCUGCCCGGUCCGCACCCCGUCCUGACUCCCCGUGGGGCCCCUCCAGGCGGGGUGCUUCCUCCAGACCUGUGAGUCAUUCUCUUCCCUGCUUCACCUUCCCUGGUGGUCCCUCAGCCGUGCCUCCCCAGCAGACACCCCGCCCGCACUCGACGGGUGCUCACGAAGUCCAGCACCCCUGUGUUCGGCCAGGCUGGCCUUUGGGAUGCCGAGCCGGACUCCCCACCUCAUCCAGCCUGAUUCUUCCCUCAUUUUUAUCCUCCGAAUUCAGGACGCAUCCCGUGCUAGCAGGAUGUGCUAUGUGACCGUUGUGAAUUUAGGCCAUUUUCACCCCAGAGCUGGCCCCUUCCACACUCCGGCCUUCCGUGGGGACGUCCAUCCCACCCCCACGCCCUCCAUGCGAUUCCGCAGCUGGGACUGGGUCCCCGACCCCAGACCAUGUGUCUGCCCACCCGCCGUGGGUACUGGUCCCGUGGUGGCCCAGGGACCCUCUCAGCCAGGGGGAGCCUGGCGGACUGUGCGGAAGCAGAUGGUGCUGGAAUGUGGUGGGGCUCCCCUCCAGGGCAGGGGAGGAGAGAGCAGGCUUGGACGCGGGGCUGGGUAUUAUUCCCACACCGAGAUGUGCCAGGUGCCUCCUGAGAGCCCUGGGCAGGGCGAGCGGCCUGCAGCCAGAUGGGCCCCGAGGCCACCAGCCUGCCGCGCGUCCUGGCUGGGGAGGAAGGCAUGCGGCGGAGGGGCCCGGAGGGAGGGUGGACAGCCGGCCCGAGCAUCUGGUCUCCCUCCCUCCGCCCCUCCUGCACUGUUAUCUCAAAGCCCUCUUUACAGACUCGUGUCCCUGAGGGUCCCGGCAUCUCGUGCCCCAGGCCCAGCACUAAGCUGGGGUUCCCGGGCCCCACCGCCCGGGAAGUCUGGUCCCGCAGGCAGACGCACUGGAGAUGGGACACACCAUCCACCGACAGGGCUGUCCCGUGCCGUCACUGGUCUACAGUCUUCCUCAUGCCGCCUGGUGUGACCCUCCCGCAUCUCCAGCCGCCGUUUCUGGUCGUGCUCCCUGGCAGCAGGCCACAAACUCGCUUCCCAGCACACAGUGCCAGGCUCUCACUGCCUCAGGGCCCUUGCACAUGCUAGGCCGUCUGCUUGGAGUUUCUGUCCCCUCCUCAGCCUUCUGGUCGGAUCUCAGAUGUCAACCCCCCGCCCCCCGCUUCCACACAGAUCGCGUGUGCUCAUUUCCCACCACAGGUGACCGCGUGCCUGUCUUUGCGAUGGUUCAGGUUGGGCAUCCCCACGAGGCCUCCCGGAGGGCAGAGUGGGGUCUGUCUUGCUCGUGGCCGCGUCUGCAGCACUCGGCACGGGUCUGCACAGAGCCGGUGCUCAGAAGUAGGUAUUUCUGCGACUCCGUGAAAGGCCGGGGCGGACGCUCGUAGGCCUGACCAAGCUCGCUUUCUGGCUCGCUUCCCCCAGAAGGCCCUGUGUGCACUUCCCGCCCAGAAGGCGGGUCUCUGUCGUGAAACCAGCUUUGCCGCUUUGCCUGGGACGGAAGCAGAUGCCACCCGGUCCCUACGCGCGGCUUCUGGCCGGCAGCUUGUCGCCCGCGAGCGCCUGAGUUGGUCUGUGACCCUCAGCACCUGCCCACGCGGUGGGCUCAAGCCCGGGGAGGGUGGCCCCGUGGGGUUAAGCUCUGUCCCCACAGCACUGGGUCAUUUGGUGAUGUGCCCUUUCCUCCCCGCUCCCCCUCGGCCCCCAAAUAAGCCACUUGACUUAUUGACUUAUUAGCCAUGUUGACUAAGUAAACAUUAAAAAAUUA